AUGGCGCCGGCGGCGACGGCCGGCCGGAGACCAGCCUCGUCUACAACGGCGUCGGAGGCGGAAGCGAAGGACGCCGAGAACCUCCGUCUCAUCGAGGAGAUGACCUCCAACGUGGACUCCGUGCAAGAGCGAGUCCUGGCCGAGAUCCUCUCCCGGAACGCCGCAACGGAGUACCUCAGGGACUGCGGCGGCCCCACCGACCGUGCCACCUUUCGGGACAAGGUGCCGGUGGUGUCGUACGACGCUCUGAAGCCGUACAUCCAGCGCAUCGCCAACGGAGACAGGUCGCCCAUCAUGUCGACGCACCCCGUCUCCGACUUCCUCACCAGCUCCGGCACCUCCGGCGGCGAGCGCAAGCUGAUUCCCAGCACCGCCGAGGAGGGCCGCCGACGCCAGCUUCCCUUCAGCCUCCUUAAGGCACUCAUGAACUUGCACUUCCCUGGGCUUGACAAGGGAAAGGGGCUCUACUUUCUCUUCGUCAAGUCGGAGAGCAAAACACCGGGCGGGCUCACGGCGUGGCCGAUGAUGACAAGCAUUUACAAGAGCGAGCAGUUCAAGGGCCCCUUGCGCGACCACACGAGCCCGAGGGCGGCCGUGCUCUGCGCCGACACGUCACAAAGCAUGUACGCGCAGAUGGUGUGCGGCCUGUGCCAGCGCCACGACGUCCUCCGCGUCGGCGCCGCCUUCGCCUCCGGCCUCUUGCGCGCCAUCCGCUUCCUCCAGCUCAACUGGGAGCAGCUCGCCGCCGACAUCGAGGCCGGCACGCUCGCCCCGUGCGUGAGCGACGCGUCGGUGCGCGAGGCGGUCGCCGGCAUCCUCCGCCGCCCGGACCCCGAGCUCGCCCAGCUCGUCCGGGACGAAUGCCGCACGGGCGAAUGGGCCGGCAUCAUCCCGCGCAUCUGGCCCAACGCGAGGUACCUCGAGGCCAUCGUCCGGCCUUGGAAUACUACACCGACGGCCUUCCGGCCUUGGAAUACUACACCGGCGGCCUGCCGUUGGUGUCCAUCUCCUACGCGUCCUCCGAGUGCUACUUCGGCAUCAAUCUUCAGCCGCUGUGCAACCCGACCGACGUUUCUUACACCAUCAUGCCCAACAUGGCCUACUUCGAGUUCCUCCCCGUGGACGACACCACCACAGGCGAGGCCGUGGCACCAGAAGGUGACGCGGCCCGGCUGGUAG
rnacentral:rRNA from 1 species